rnacentral:rRNA from 1 species
UGGGGAAUCUUGCGCAAUGGGCGAAAGCCUGCCGCAGCCAUGCCGCGUGAAUGAUGAAGGUCUUAGGAUUGUAAAAUUCUUUCACCGGGGACGAUAAUGACGGUACCCGGAGAAGAAGCCCCGGCUAACUUCGUGCCAGCAGCCGCGGUAAUACGAAGGGGGCUAGCGUUGCUCGGAAUUACUGGGCGUAAAGGGAGCGUAGGCGGACAUUUAAGUCAGGGGUGAAAUCCCGGGGCUCAACCUCGGAAUUGCCUUUGAUACUGGGUGUCUUGAGUAUGAGAGAGGUGUGUGGAGCUCCGAGUGUAGAGGUGAAAUUCGUAGAUAUUCGGAAGAACACCAGUGGCGAAGGCGACACACUGGCUCAUUACUGACGCUGAGGCUCGAAAGCGUGGGGAGCAAACAGG